GGCAUAUUUUGCCCAGGCGGAGCUCGACCGCCGGUUCAAGCCAUGAUCGCGUUCAUCGAUGAUCAUCGCGAGGCCUAUGGGGUCGAGCCGAUCUGCGGGGUGCUGCCGAUCGCCCCA
rfam:Acidiphilium cryptum JF-5, complete genome.